UACAGAGGUCCCAAGCGUUGUUCGGAUUCAUUGGGCGUAAAGGGUGCGUAGGUGGCGCGCUAAGUCAGGUGUGAAAUUUCGGAGCUUAACUCCGAAACUGCAUUUGAUACUGGCGUGCUUGAGGACUGGAGAGGAGACUGGAAUUCACGGUGUAGCAGUGAAAUGCGUAGAGAUCGUGAGGAAGACCAGUGGCGAAGGCGGGUCUCUGGACAGUUCCUGACACUGAGGCACGAAGGCCAGGGGAGCAAACGAG
rnacentral:rRNA from 1 species